rnacentral:tRNA from 1 species
GGAGAGAUGCUAGAGUGGUUGAAUAGGCUGGUCUCGAAAACCAGUGUGGUACUUGUUGCCCCGAGGGUUCGAAUCCCUCUCUCUCCGCCA